GAGAAGAGCGGAGGAUGAUGUGGAACCCAGGCUCUUGUGUAGAUGCUCUUCUGAGACCUCUGCCUUCGGUUUUCCAGCGCUCAUCUCAGGUCUCCAGUUCAUGACUGCUGCUGCAGACAUUUUCAGUGGGGUUUUUACCUGCCAAUCAACCCAAUAAGAACUCCCUCACAAGCAUGCCUGAGGCUUGUCUACCAGGUGAUUCUAAAGGAAAUAAACCAGAUAACUCUAGCUUGUAUCAUGUUGACAUAAAACUAUACAGCACACAUGCUAAGCAGAAGCUAAACCUUCAAAGUCCCUGAAGAUCUUUCUAGUGGAGAUACUCAAGG